UACAGAGGGGGCAAGCGUUGUUCGGAAUUACUGGGCGUAAAGGGCUCGUAGGCGGCCAACUAAGUCGGAUGUGAAAUCCCCAGGCUUAACCUGGGAACUGCAUCCGAUACUGGAUGGCUUGAAUCCGGGAGAGGGAUGCAGAAUUCCAGGUGUAGCGGUGAAAUGCGUAGAUAUCAGGAGGAACACCGAUGGCGAAGGCAGGUCUCUGGGCAUUAACUGACGCUGAGGAGCGAAAGCAUGGGGAGCGAACAGG
rnacentral:rRNA from 1 species